rnacentral:rRNA from 1 species
UACGAAGGGUGCAAGCGUUACUCGGAAUUACUGGGCGUAAAGCGUGCGUAGGUGGUGAGUUAAGUCUGUCGUGAAAGCCCCGGGCUCAACCUGGGAAUGGCGAUGGAUACUGGCUCGCUAGAGUGCGGUAGAGGAGAGUGGAAUUCCCGGUGUAGCAGUGAAAUGCGUAGAUAUCAAGAGGAACACCUGAGGCGAAGGCGGGUUGCUAGGCUGACACUGACGCUGAGGCGCGAAAGCCAGGGGAGCAAACGGG